CAUACCCAUACCCAUACCCAUUCCGAUUUUGGUUGAUGACAUUCAACUCUCUUUGGCUGAAGUCAAACUUGCUUGGUUACCCAUUCCGAUUUUGCUUGAUGACAUUCUUGCUUGGAUAGUGCAUAUUGUUGCUGCCAUCCUUAAGACUUUCCAAAUUUCUGG